UUUGAAAAAUAAAAUCUCUGGACACUCAAACAAGGAAAGAGUAAACAGAAUAGAAUUUAUUUAAGCAAGAGGAAACAGAACUCUCAUAAUGUAGAAGAGAGCAUAAUAAAAGAAGAACUCAUUUUGGUGUGCCAGCUUUGGAGUUUAUAUAUGGUUUUGGGCAGAACAGGGGCAAAAUCCAUUAAAAAUAGAUAUAGAAAAAGGUAUCCUGGCUAUCAUCUGGGUUCACUUCCAUUCUUUAUCCCAUCCACCUUCCCAUAACUUCCAUCUGGCUUCACACCUGGGACAAAGUGUUUGGGUGAAGGCAUACCCACAAGUGAGCCUUAAGGGUUUUUACAUUUGAAAUAGGGCUUAAUGGUUUUCUUAAACAUAUCUAUCCAUUAGCCUUCAGGUGUGGUUUAAUGUUGUCCAUUAUAGAGCUGUCUUGUCAUUUUACUAUCUAUUCUUUAUUAUCUUCAUUUAAAGUGAGCAGGGAACCUUGGAUUUGAGAAUUUGAAAAGAUAGCUUGGAUUUAUUCUCAGAACAAUGGAGAGCUUAGCUGGGGUUCUGGAUAUCAGAUAGGAGUUCUGGAUAUCAGAAAGCUAUUCUGGAUUUGAGAUACUCUUUACCCUACAUUUGGAAAUCACAGGAUACAUAAAGAUGGCAAGUUUAAAGCCAGCCUCAGAAACAGUAUUGUGCUAAGCAACUCAGUGAGAUCUUGUCUCUAAAUAAAAAAUAUAAAAAGGGCUGGGGACAUGGGUCAGUAUAUAAACACUCCUGGUUUGAAUUCCUGACACAAACACAAACAAACAUACAAACAAAAAACCUCAGGAGGAGCAAGAACAGGGAUUCUAAAAACUAGAGCUUAUAAUAUGCAGAAACCCAGAUAAUAGAGUUGAGGUCGUCUCCUGACGAUUAUUCCAGUCUUCACCACACAAUCUGUGGACAUGCUGGGCUCUUUCACACAGAAGCCCAAAUAGAAAUCCAAAAAGGUGCUGAAAACACAAUACAACGAUGGAACAGAAGGCCUGGGGUCUUAAAGGCUGAUCUGAGAUCCACUAGACUAGUCUGAGAAAACUGAAAACUGAGCUGCAACAGAGAAACCCUCUGACCCCCCAAAACUGGAGGGAAAUCUGAGGAGUCCCUGGCCACCACUUCCAAUUCCCGCCAUUGCCAGUCUCGCUGGCUUUGAGCAUUCUCCCUACCCAGCCUUAAAAUAAAAAUGCACACAUACUAUUUCCUGUCUUUCAGUAUGCUUAGUGUUCCCUCAAUAUUUUUUUUUUCUUUUCAGCUCCUGUGUAGUGCAGAAACCUGGGGCUCCUGAUCUAGGACUGGAAGCAGAGAAAUGGAUUCAAAGAAUGGCAUACUCCUAAAACAAAGGGAAUAGUAUGAAGUAGGGACUGAGGGCACUCAAAGGAGUCUCUGGAAGCCCUGAAGCUGGCAAGGAUCUUUUAGUGAGACAGAGCUGGAAUCUCCUGGGAAAAUGAGGUAAUGUGAAGACAACCCCAUCUUCAAAUGCAGGUUUUUUUUUUUUCAAUCAAGAAAUAAAGUUUUCAAACUUAUCACUCAGAUUGAAAGGCAAUGAGUUUAUUAGAUGUGAUGUGAAGCAGGGAAAAGAGGACACUCUGAAGGAAGACAGAAUGUCUUCUCUGAAAAGAUAAUAGCAUGACUCUCUUGUACUCCAGUAUUAUUGAUCUAAGAAAAUAUUCCAAAUAGUUCUGCCCAGGUAAAAUUCUUGGCUUUGGACUAACAGAAGGAUAACAUCAAACUCUCAAGUAUCCACUGCCAUGAAAACUUUAGAUUAAUUAAGAUAAUUUUCACCAUUUGUAAUUGAAAUCUUUUUUUUUUUAAUUUUUUAUUGUUGGUUGUUCAAAACAUUACAAAUUUCUUGACAUAUCAUAUUCCACACUUUGAUUCAAGUGGGUUAUGAACUCCCACCUUCACCCCAUACACAGAUUGCAGAAUCACAUCAGCUACACAUCCAUUGAUUUACAUAUUGCCAUACUAGUGUCUGUUGUGCUCCCCUGCCUUUCCCAUCCUCCACCCUCCCCCCUCCCCACCUCUCCCCUCCCCUCCCCUCCUCUCUCUCUACCCCCUCCACUGUAUAACCCUGAGGGUCAACUUCCAUUUCCAUGCAAUUUCCCUUCUCUCCCCCUUUCCCUCCCACCUCUCAUCCCUGUUAAAUGUUAAUCUUCUUCUCCUGCUCUUCGUCCCUUCUCUGAUCUCAGUUACUCUCCUUAUAUCAAAGAAGACAUUUGGCAUUUGUUUUUUAGGGAUUGGCUAGCUUCACUUAGCAUAAUCUGCUCUAAUGCCAUCCAUUUCCCUGCAAAUUCUAUGAUUUUGUCAUUUUUAAUGCAGAGUAAUACUCCAUUGUGUAUAAAUGCCACAUUUUUUUUAUCCAUUCAUCUAUUGAAGGGCAUCUAGGUUGGUUCCACAGUCUUGCUAUUGUGAAUUGUGCUGCUAUGAACAUCGAUGUAGCAGUGUCCCUGUAGCCUGCUCUUUUUAGGUCUUUAGGGAAUAGACCAAGAAGGGGAAUAUCUCAGCAAAAGAAACAAUAAGAGAGGUAAAUAGGGAGCCUACACCCUGGGAACAAAUCUUUACUCCUCACACUUCAGAUAGAGCCCUAAUAUCCAGAGUAUACAAAGAACUCAAAAAAUUAGACAAUAAGAGAACAAACAACCCAAUCAACAAAUGGGCCAAGGACCUGAACAGACACUUCUCAGAGGAGGACAUACAGUCAAUCAACAAGUACAUGAAAAAAUGCUCACCAUCUCUAGCUGUCAGAGAAAUGCAAAUCAAAACCACCCUAAGAUACCAUCUCACUCCAGUAAGAUUGGCAGCCAUUAUGAAGUCAAACAACAACAAGUGCUGGCGAGGAUGUGGGGAAAAGGGUACACUUGUACAUUGCUGGUGUAAUUGAAAUCUUAACAAUAAUCUCUUACAGAUUUUAUGAUUAGUAGAAAUUAUCCUUACUUCCCUUAGUUUCAGAAUCUGGUCUGUACAGAGUCACAAAAUCUUUCCUUAAGGGUAACUUGGCUUCUUCUUAUAAACAUUAUUUUGAAACUUCAUUUUUUCUGCAGAUAACCAUUUGUUAAGAAAUGUUACAUAACCUGUCCAGUUAAGCCAGAAAGGGUGCAAGUAAAUUGUUUCAGGUAAAAUAAAGCAUGAGGUAAACAUUUUGGGCCUAUUUACUUUUUAUUUAUGGGACUGUGUAUUGAAACUAGAGGUAGUCAACAACUGAGCUACAUCAACAGCCCUUUUUAUAAAUUUUACUUUAUUUAGAGACAAGUUCUCACUAUUUUGCUUAGUGCCUCACUGAUAAGUUGCUGAGACUGGCUCUUAACUCAUGAUUCUCUUGCCUCACCCUAUAAAUCUAAUGGUAAUAUAGGCAUGGGGCACCAUGCCCAACCUACCACUUAUCUUAAAGGUACUUCAAUUUUUAUUACAAGGCUCUGUGAAUAAUACUAUCAUGAAAAUGGAAGUGCAAUGUAUUCUAUGAUGUAAUGACUCUAAUUUGUUUACAUCCAUAUUCAAAAUUACUAGUACUGGAUCAUUUUAUUUAACUAUAUUUUUAUUUUAACUUUUUGAAGAACCUGAAUACCAUUUUCUAAAACAGCUUUAUUUAAUUUAUAUUCUCACCAACAUUUUUACAACUGAUUAUUUAUAUCUAUGCUCAUAUAUUCUGGAGUAUCUACUAUUUUUUCCAUUUUUGUUUCUUCUUCUAAAUAUUUAUUUAUUUAUUUGUCAGAGACAGACAAAUUCCUUUUAUUUUAUUUAUUUAUUUUAUCUGGUUCUGAGGCUUAAACCAGUGACUUUCAUGUAUUAGGCAAUUGCUGUACAACUAAGCCAGAACCACAGCCACUAUCUUUUGGAUUUUUUUAGAAGGUAUUCUGACAAAACUACAAAGGGUGUAGGAUUUUGCCAUUUGACUGAUGCAUUAAAUUGCUGAUACUAGCUUGUCAGAAUUUAGGCUGUCAAGUAGCCAGAGGCAGAGUGUGCUUUAAAUACUUUCUCUGAUCAAUGGGGGAUCAUUAAUUUUUAACACAUUUCUAACACUACUGCUGGGAAUUUUAGUCCUUAGAUGUAGUUACACACAAUGCAAAUCCAAUUGUUUGCUAUGUAUGAAGAUUUGCACAUGCUCAAUCUCCUUUGCUUAUAGAUAUUGGAAGUUUAGGAUAAAAUUUCUUCAACAGAAGUUGCUAAUGUUAGACACUCAGUGCAUGGAGAAACUUUUUUUUUCUGGAAACAAUUGGUAGGCUUAAAAUUAUUAUUGGGGUAAACAAGGGUAGGUCAGGGCUCAGAAAGUGCUCAAGUUACACUGAGUCUAUCAGUGGUUUGCUUAAUUUUACCUCUUGAACCCAGAAUUAAAUCAAAAGAAAAGCAAAUUUUCCAGCAACAGAAGUAAGAAAACCACUGGUAAGUCUAUUCUUGGAACAAACUGACACCUUUGAGAUUUAACUUCUCUGCCUUCAGGUUGUGAAACACAUGAAAAGACUUACUUGUUCAUAGAAGACCACCACUUUGUCAUUUUUAUACUUAUAUAUCACUUCUUCUAUAACCAAUGAAUAAAUUAAUGUAGAAAUUACAGAAAUAUUUAAAGUCGCUUUUAUAUAUCUUGAUAGCCCUCUAUUCAAGGUGUCCCCUGACUUUGGGGGAAUUUUGUCCCAAAUAUGUGGCACUUCACUCGACAAUUCAAAUAUCCAGGUCUACUCCACCUUUUUCCUACUCAUUUCACUGUAGUUAUUUUCUUUAUUGUCCAAUGUACCUACAUCUCUGAAUUCAUUCAUGACUUUGUCAAAUAAGGAUCCAUAACAUAAGUAUAUGUGUAUUCGGUGUAUCAGUAAAGGGAGAGAUGGUUAGAAGCUUCACAUUCUGCUAUAUUUCUGUUAUGUUUCAGUUGUUAGGUGUCCCCCAAAAGCUCCCCUGUUAGACAAUGCAGGGAGGUUUGGGAUACAAAUGAUUGGGUUAUAGCCUUAAUGUCAUCAGUGAAUUAAUUCCUGAAUAAAUUACCUGUGUGGUAACUGAAGUGACAAUGUGUCGCUGAAGGAAGUGGGAAUUGGGCAUGUGGCUUUGAAGUAUAAAUUUAUGUAUUUACUCAAAACAGAGAAUCUGUCUCUUCUUCCUAGUCAUCAUGAGAGUUUCUUCCCUCUGCUACACCCUUCUGCCAUUAAGUUCUGCCUCACCUUGAGCCCUAAGGAAUGGAGCAGUCUUCUAUAGACAAAGACCUCUGUAAAGCUAAGCCUGCAAAUAAAAUUUUAUUCCUCUACAAUUUCUCUGGUCAAGUUCUUUAGUCACAGUGGUAAAAAAAAAAAAAAAAAUAAAGCUGACUAAAACAACUUCUAAUUUCAUCUCACCUUAACAUCUUCUUUUUGUGAUGAGUUUGAACAUUACCUUACAUAUUCUGCACACAAAGUUUCAGGAAACUGUAAUCCUAGCCCAAACAUAUAACUUUCUAUUUUUAAUUUAUUUAUUAAUUUAUUUUUCACAUAAUAAGUUACAGUUAAUCUUGGGUAUUGCAAAUUUCAUAAGAGAACUUAUGUAAUAUUUUCGAGACAUACAAUUAAGAUUUUUUAUUUAAAAUAUUUUAUUUCUUCUGCAUUCACUCACAUUCUUUUAUAAUCUAAUAUUUAAAAAUUUAUUCUAAUUUCUUAUAUAUGAUGGCAGAAUUCAUUUCAGUUCAUAAUACACAUAUAUGGCACGAUUCUUUAUAUCUCUUGUUAUACACAACAUAGAGUCACACCAUUUGUGUCUUCAUACAUUUACUUAGGGAAAUGGUAUGUUUCUUUUUCCACCGCCUUUCCUAUUGCCAUGUCCCCUUCCUCCUCCCCUCUGCCCUAUCUAUAGUUUCUCUAUUCCUCCCGUCCUCCUCCUUCCUCUCAAUUUUGAAUCACAAUCUUUAUAUCAGAGAAAAUAUUCAGCAUUUGUUUUGUUGAAUAUUGGCUUACUUCACUUAUUAGAUUUAUAUUCUCCAACUCCAUCCAUUUAUCUGAAAAUGCCAUGAAUGUAUUCAAUUGUGUAUUAAUGUGCAUUUUAUUUAUCCAUUAUUCUACUGAAGAGCAUCAGAGCAUACUACAAGGAUACAGCUAAAUCAAUAUUUAUAACAGCACAAUUCCAAAAAUGCUUAAAACCACCAGAUUAUAAUAUUUAUUUUUCUAAAGAUCUUAUGUACAGAUAUUAAAAUUCUACUUUACACA